rnacentral:rRNA from 1 species
UACAGAGGUCCCGAGCGUUGUUCGGAUUCACUGGGCGUAAAGGGUGCGUAGGUGGCGAGGUAAGUUUGAUGUGAAAUCUCCGGGCUUAACCCGGAAACUGCAUUGAAUACUAUCUUGCUUGAGGGUUGGAGGGGGGACUGGAAUUCUCGGUGUAGCAGUGAAAUGCGUAGAUAUCGAGAGGAACACCAGUGGCGAAGGCGAGUCCCUGGACAACUCCUGACACUGAGGCACGAAAGCUAGGGGAGCAAACAGG